GGGGUAUCGGGCAACAUUACUUUUAAUCAAGUUGUCCGGGGUUCGAAUCCCCGAUGCUUCA
rnacentral:tRNA from 1 species